rnacentral:misc_RNA from 1 species
CUCUUGUCAGUCUUAAAUGAAAGAUAUGAAAUUCUUCUUGUUUUUAUAGCUUUUCCUCUAUUUAGGGAAAACCCUUGCAAAACCUUUUUCAUGAACUUCCCCUUUGGCUCUAUACUUUGUUUAGUUUUUGUAACCCAUGAUUCAGUUUAGAAGUUAGGCUUAAAGGGUCUAAAGACACAAGUUUUAGCCAAACCAGGAAGAGGGGAAGAAGAAAAGGGGUGAAGUAUUGCUAUUGUAAUCUUGCACUGUAGCUCUCAUUAAAUGCAUGGAUGGAAGAGAAGCCAUGGCAUUAGCUAGUGGGUCAGCACCAUAUUUCAUUCAUAGAGGAGGUGGGAUUGGUGGGUCUGGGUCUGGAUCUCAAACUGGUGCAUUACAUACCCCGCCUGGGUUCAGACCCUUGUCAAACCCCAAUCUAGCAGCUCAAUCAAAUGCCAGGCCAGGUUCAUUUGGCCCAGCGUUUUCAAUAGAGCCAUCAAAUGCCAAUUUCGGUCAUGGCAUUAACAUCGCUGUGCCCUCUGGGGUGCCAGUGGGUGAACCAGUGAAGAAGAAGCGAGGGAGGCCCCGGAAAUAUGCUCCUGAUGGGCAAGUUUCUCUCGGAUUGUCUCCAAUGCCAGUAAAGCCUAAGCCUUCUUCAGGGCAGGAUCCAUUGACCCCUAAACGGGCCAGAGGGCGUCCACCUGGGACUGGGAGGAAGCAGCAAUUGGCUCUUCUUGGUGACUGGAUGAAUAGUUCUGCUGGACUAGCCUUUUCACCGCAUGUGAUAUGCAUUGGAGCAGGAGAGGAUAUUGUUGCAAAAAUACUGUCAUUUGCUCAACAGAGGCCAAGAGCAGUUUGCGUCUUGUCUGGAUCUGGUACAGUUUCUUCAGUAACCUUGCGUCAGCCAGCAUCUUCAGGGCCUGCUGUCACAUUUGAGGGCCGAUUUGAGAUACUAUGCUUGUCUGGUUCGUUCUUGGUUUCUGAAGAUGGUGGCCCUCGUGAUCGAACUGGUGGUAUUAGUGCUUCUUUU